GACGAACGCUGGCGGCGUGCUUAACACAUGCCAGUCGAACGGAAAGGCCCUGCUUUUGUGGGGUGCUCGGGUGGCGAACGGGUGAGUAACACGUGAGUAACCUGCCCUUGACUUUGGGAUAACUUCAGGAAACUGGGGCUAAUACCGGAUAGGAGCUCCUGCUGCAUGGUGGGGGUUGGAAAGUUUCGGCGGUUGGGGAUGGACUCGCGGCUUAUCAGCUUGUUGGUGGGGUAGUGGCUUACCAAGGCUUUGACGGGUAGCCGGCCUGAGAGGGUGACCGGCCACAUUGGGACUGAGAUACGGCCCAGACUCCUACGGGAGGCAGCAGUGGGGAAUAUUGCACAAUGGGCGGAAGCCUGAUGCAGCAACGCCGCGUGCGGGAUGACGGCCUUCGGGUUGUAAACCGCUUUCGCCUGUGACGAAGCGUGAGUGACGGUAAUGGGUAAAGAAGCACCGGCCAACUACGUG
rnacentral:rRNA from 1 species